GAUGAUCCCAGCUUGCUGGGGGAUUAGUGGCGAACGGGUGAGUAACACGUGAGUAACCUGCCCUUGACUCUGGGAUAAGCCUGGGAAACUGGGUCUAAUACCGGAUAUGACUCCUCAUCGCAUGGUGGGGGGUGGAAAGCUUUUGUGGUUUUGGAUGGACUCGCGGCCUAUCAGCUUGUUGGUGGGGUAAUGGCCUACCAAGGCGACGACGGGUAGCCGGCCUGAGAGGGUGACCGGCCACACUGGGACUGAGACACGGCCCAGACUCCUACGGGAGGCAGCAGUGGGGAAUAUUGCACAAUGGGCGCAAGCCUGAUGCAGCGACGCCGCGUGAGGGAUGACGGCCUUCGGGUUGUAAACCUCUUUCAGUAGGGAAGAAGCGUAAGUGACGGUACCUGCAGAAGAAGCGCCGGCUAACUACGUGCCAGCAGCCGCGGUAAUACGUAGGGCGCAAGCGUUAUCCGGAAUUAUUGGGCGUAAAGAGCUCGUAGGCGGUUUGUCGCGUCUGCUGUGAAAGACCGGGGCUCAACUCCGGUUCUGCAGUGGGUACGGGCAGACUAGAGUGCAGUAGGGGAGACUGGAAUUCCUGGUGUAGCGGUGAAAUGCGCAGAUAUCAGGAGGAACACCGAUGGCGAAGGCAGGUCUCUGGGCUGUAACUGACGCUGAGGAGCGAAAGCAUGGGGAGCGAACAGGAUUAGAUACCCUGGUAGUCCAUGCCGUAAACGUUGGGCACUAGGUGUGGGGGACAUUCCACGUUUUCCGCGCCGUAGCUAACGCAUUAAGUGCCCCGCCUGGGGAGU
rnacentral:rRNA from 1 species